AGUGAACGCUGGCGGUAGGCCUAACACAUGCAAGUCGAACGGCAGCACAGUAAGAGCUUGCUCUUACGGGUGGCGAGUGGCGGACGGGUGAGGAAUACAUCGGAAUCUACUUUUUCGUGGGGGAUAACGUAGGGAAACUUACGCUAAUACCGCAUACGACCUACGGGUGAAAGCAGGGGAUCUUCGGACCUUGCGCGAUUGAAUGAGCCGAUGUCGGAUUAGCUAGUUGGCGGGGUAAAGGCCCACCAAGGCGACGAUCCGUAGCUGGUCUGAGAGGAUGAUCGGCCACACUGGAACUGAGACACGGUCCAGACUCCUACGGGAGGCAGCAGUGGGGAAUAUUGGACAAUGGGCGCAAGCCUGAUCCAGCCAUACCGCGUGGGUGAAGAAGGCCUUCGGGUUGUAAAGACCUUUUGUUGGGAAAGAAAAGCAGCAGGUUAAUACCCCGCUGUUCCGACGGUACCCAAAGAAUAAGCACCGGCUAACUUCGUG
rnacentral:rRNA from 1 species